rnacentral:rRNA from 1 species
UACGGGGGAGCAAGCGUUGUUCGGAUUUCCUGGGCGUAAAGGGCGCGUAGGCGGUCGUGACAAGUCACUUGUGAAAUCUCCGGGCUUAACUCGGAACGGUCAAGUGAUACUGUCGGACUAGAGUACAGAAGGGGCAACUGGAAUUCUCGGUGUAGCGGUGAAAUGCGUAGAUAUCGAGAGGAACACCUGCGGCGAAGGCGGGUUGCUGGGCUGAUACUGACGCUGAGGCGCGAAAGCCAGGGGAGCGAACGGG